rnacentral:rRNA from 1 species
CCUACGGGUGGCAGCAGUGAGGAAUAUUGGUCAAUGGGCGCGAGCCUGACCCAGCCAAGUAGCGUGAAGGAUGACUGCCCUACGGGUUGUAAACUUCUUUUAUAAAGGAAUAAAGUGAAGCACGUGUGCCUUUUUAUAUGUACUUUAUGAAUAAGGAUCGGCUAACUCCGUGCCAGCAGCCGCGGUAAUACGGAGGAUCCGAGCGUUAUCCGGAUUUAUUGGGUUUAAAGGGAGCGUAGAUGGGUUGUUAAGUCAGUUGUGAAAGUUUCGGGCUCAACACUAAAAUUGCAAUUGAUACUGGCAGCCUUGAGUAUAGGUGAGGUAGGCGGAAUUCGUGGUGUAGCGGUGAAAUGCUUAGAUAUCACGAAGAACACCGAUGGCGAAGGCAGCUUACUAAACUGCCACUGACAGUGAGGCUCGAAAGUGUGGGUAUCAAACAGGAUUAGAUACCCGAGUAGUC